GGAUAAAAGCUACCCCGGGGAUAACAGGCUUAUCUCCCCCAAGAGUUCACAUCGACGGGGAGGUUUGGCACCUCGAUGUCGGCUCAUCGCAUCCUGGGGCUGUAGUCGGUCCCAAGGGUUGGGCUGUUCGCCCAUUAAAGCGGUACGCGAGCUGGGUUCAGAACGUCGUGAGACAGUUCGGUCCCUAUCCGUCGUGGGCGUAGGAAAUUUGAGAGGAGCUGUCCUUAGUACGAGAGGACCGGGAUGGACAUACCUCUGGUGUACCAGUUGUCGUGCCAACGGCAUAGCUGGGUAGCUAUGUGUGGACGGGAUAAGUGCUGAAAGCAUCUAAGCAUGAAGCCCCCCUCAAGAUGAGAUUUCCCAACUUCGGUUAUAAGAUCCCUCAAAGAUGAUGAGGUUAAUAGGUUCGAGGUGGAAGCAUGGUGACAUGUGGAGCUGACGAAUACUAAUCGAUCGAAGACUUAAUCAAAUU
rnacentral:rRNA from 1 species